rnacentral:rRNA from 1 species
GCUAGCGCCGGGACUGGGGCCGCGUUAGUACGGGGGGGACAAGAGUUCAUCGGACUUACGGGGCGGAAAGCGUGUGGCGGAUGGAGGGGCGGUGAGUGGUGAAUGCCCUGGGCUUAACCUAGGCACGGCUGUGGAGACGGGUGGACUAGAUUGGGGUAGAGGGUCGUGGAAUGCCGGGUGUAGCGGUGAAAUGCGUAGAGAUCCGGAGGAACACCGAUGGCGAAGGCAGCGGUCUGGGGCCACACUGACGCUGAGGCACGAAAGCGUGGGGAGCAAACAGGAUUAGAUACCCCAGUAGUC